rnacentral:rRNA from 1 species
UACAGGGGGUGCAAACGUUGCUCGGAAUUACUGGGCGUAAAGCGCGUGUAGGCGGCCAUCUAAGUCGGGCGUGAAAUCCCACGGCUCAACCGUGGAAGUGCACUCGAAACUGGAUGGCUAGAGUCCUGGAGAGGAAGGUGGAAUGCUUGGUGUAGAGGUGAAAUUCGUAGAUAUCAAGCGGAACACCGGUGGCGAAGGCGGCCUUCUGGACCGGUAUUGACGCUGAGGAGCGAAAGCGUGGGUAGCAAACAGG